ACAAGGUUUCCGUAGGUGAACCUGCGGAAGGAUCAUUAUCGAAUAAACUUGAACAGGCUGUUGCUGGCCCUUAGGGGUAUGUGCACGCUUGUCAUCUUUAUUUCUCCAACUGUGCACAUAUUGUAGACCUGGAGAUUUUUUUGUUGUUGAUAUUAGUUAUCGAGUUGGAACUGCGACUGCUACUGCUGUUGCUUUUCCUUGAAAUCCUUUCCAGGUCUAUGUACCUUUUUCACAAACCUAUGAAUCUGUUUAGAAUAACAAAGUUGAAUUUAAAUAUACAACUUUCAGCAACGGAUCUCUUGGCUCUCGCAUCGAUGAAGAACGCAGCGAAAUGCGAUAAGUAAUGUGAAUUGCAGAAUUCAGUGAAUCAUCGAAUCUUUGAACGCACCUUGCGCCCUUUGGUAUUCCGAAGGGCAUGCCUGUUUGAGUGUCAUUAAAUUAUCAACCUUGCUUGCUCUUACCGGCUUGAGCUGAGGCUUGGACGUGGGGGUUUUUGCUGGCUUCCUUCAGUGGAUGGUCUGCUCCCCUUAAAUUCAUUAGUGGGAUCUCUUGUGGACCGUCACUUGGUGUGAUAAUUAUCUAUGCCGUUUGACCUUGAGGCAAAUUUAUGGGACCCUGCUUAUAACCGUCUCUUACCGGGACAAUUUAAUAACAUCUUGACCUCAAAUCAGGUAGGACUACCCGCUGAACUUAAGCAUAUCAAUAAGCGGAGGAAAAGAAACUAACAAGGAUUCCCCUAGUAACUGCGAGUGAAGCGGGAAAAGCUCAAAUUUAAAAUCUGGCGGUCCUUGUGGCCGUCCGAGUUGUAAUUUAGAGAA
rnacentral:misc_RNA from 1 species